AUAAGAAGCUGCCUGUGAUGUUGCAGAGUGGCCAUGUUGACUAGUGCUGACGAGCGGAGGCGAUGGGAGAUGGGAGUGGGGCCGUAUUUCCUGCGUUUGGAGCGGAGACCCAGUUAGGAGUCUCUGCUUAUUUGGAGAUGAGGCUGGAUUUCCUCCUCUCGCAUUCCCUUGGAGCAAAGACGGGAGAAAAUCCACAGAGCGGCUCUCUGGCUCUUGGUGAUCCUCGUUUGGAUUAUCCAGAAAGAAAG